rnacentral:rRNA from 1 species
GACGAACGCUGGCGGCGUGCCUAAUACAUGCAAGUCGAACGCUUCUUUCCUCCCGAGUGCUUGCACUCCAUUGGAAAGAGGAGUGGCGGACGGGUGAGUAACACGUGGGUAACCUACCCAUCAGAGGGGGAUAACACUUGGAAACAGGUGCUAAUACCGCAUAACAGUUUACGCCGCAUGGCAUAAGAGUGAAAGGCGCUUUCGGGUGUCGCUGAUGGAUGGACCCGCGGUGCAUUAGCUAGUUGGUGAGGUAACGGCUCACCAAGGCCACGAUGCAUAGCCGACCUGAGAGGGUGAUCGGCCACACUGGGACUGAGACACGGCCCAGACUCCUACGGGAGGCAGCAGUAGGGAAUCUUCGGCAAUGGACGAAAGUCUGACCGAGCAACGCCGCGUGAGUGAAGAAGGUUUUCGGAUCGUAAAACUCUGUUGUUAGAGAAGAACAAGGACGUUAGUAACUGAACGUCCCCUGACGGUAUCUAACCAGAAAGCCACGGCUAACUACGUG